GGGGAAUUUUCCGCAAUGGGCGAAAGCCUGACGGAGCAAUACCGCGUGAGGGAGGAAGGCUCUUGGGUUGUAAACCUCUUUUCUCAGGGAAGAAAAAARUGACGGUACCUGAGGAAUAAGCAUCGGCUAACUCCGUGCCAGCAGCCGCGGUAAUACGGAGGAUGCAAGCGUUAUCCGGAAUGAUUGGGCGUAAAGCGUCCGCAGGUGGCCAUGUAAGUCUGCUGUUAAAGAGCAAGGCUCAACCUUGUAAAGGCAGUGGAAACUACACGGCUAGAGUGCGUUCGGGGCAGAGGGAAUUCCUGGUGUAGCGGUGAAAUGCGUAGAGAUCAGGAAGAACACCGGUGGCGAAAGCGCUCUGYUAGGCCGCAACYGACACUGAGGGACGAAAGCUAGGGGAGCGAAUGGGAUUAGAUACCCCAGUAGUCCUAGCCGUAAACGAUGGAUACUAGGCGUGGCUUGUAUCGACCCGAGCCGUGCCGUAGCUAACGCGUUAAGUAUCCCGCCUGGGGAGUACGCACGCAAGUGUGAAACUCAAAGGAAUUGACGGGGGCCCGCACAAGCGGUGGAGUAUGUGGUUUAAUUCGAUGCAACGCGAAGAACCUUACCAAGACUUGACAUGUCGCGAAUCUUUGGGAAACCGAAGAGUGCCUUCGGGAGCGCGAACACAGGUGGUGCAUGGCUGUCGUCAGCUCGUGUCGUGAGAUGUUGGGUUAAGUCCCGCAACGAGCGCAACCCUCGUUUUUAGUUGCCAGCAUUAAGUUGGGCACUCUAGAGAGACUGCCGGUGACAAACCGGAGGAAGGUGGGGAUGACGUCAAGUCAGCAUGCCCCUUACGUCUUGGGCUACACACGUACUACAAUGCUCCGGACAGAGGGCAGCAAGCUAGCGAUAGCAAGCUAAUCCCGGAAACCGGAGCUCAGUUCAGAUCGCAGGCUGCAACUCGCCUGCGUGAAGGAGGAAUCGCUAGUAAUUGCAGGUCAGCAUACUGCAGUGAAUUCGYUCCCGGGCCUUGUACACACCGGCCCGUCACACCAUGGAAGCUGGUCACGCCCGAAGUCAUUACCCCAACCUUUCGAGGAGGGGGAUGCCUAAGGCAGGACUGGUGACUGGGGUGAAGUCGUAACAAGGUAGCCGUACCGGAAGGUGUGGCUGGAUCACCUCCU
rnacentral:rRNA from 2 species